rnacentral:lncRNA from 12 species
UGGCCGGCUGCGCGGGCGGCAGCGGCCUCGCCGGCCCCGGCGGGCGCGCGCGGAGACGGAGGCGCGGAGCGCGGCGGCCACGGCCGGCGCCGGGGCCCGCGGGGCGGCGGGCGUGGCGACAGGGGCGGUAGAGGUGCGGCUCCCGCCGGCGGCCGACCCACGCCGUGCCCUCCCGCCGCGCACGUGCGUUGGGGUCUCCCCGGCGGACCCCCGUCCCCAUAACCAAGUGCGCCCAACUUACUUAACUCCUAGGGCGGGCCGGCGGGUAGGCGGAAGGAAGGAAGGCAGGCCGGGCAGCCGCGGGCACAGCCUGGCGUGGGAGGCGGCUUCGGGCCCCACCUGGCGCAGCCUCGGCGGACCACGCGAAGGGGAGCGGGGUUCGGGCCCGACGCGCUCCCAAAGAGUCCCCGCCGGCGCUGACGCGGAAGCGCCACAGCUCACCACGUCCCUCCGCGGCCCGAGGCGACGGCGACGGCGACGGCGACGGCGGCGGCGGCUCACGGCGUCCCUCCGCGCUGUGGAGCUGGGCGGGCGGGCGGCGCGCGGGCGCAGGCAGUUGACAGGAGGAACCGCCCCGCAGAAGCCGCCGCCGCCACCGAAGGAGCUGGAACCGGAGCCGGCAAGACCUGGGCGCCCCUCGCCGGGGCAACGGCUGCCGCCGGAGCCCGGCUCCCCCCAGCGCCGCUCCACCUGCAACGGUCCCUCAGGCUUUUGGAGAGGGGCGGGGAAGAAUGGGGCUUCCCCCCACCUUGGGCCUUUUUUGGUAGUAGUUGUCGUUUCAGGAAACUUUAUUAAGUCAGUCUCUCCCUUUCUCUGUCUCCCCCUCCCCGAAGAGCCUGAGCUACCGCCGCGGAGCGGGUAGGAAGGGGAAGCAGAGACUCUCCCGCAGCGACAGGGAGCGACUGACUGACCCCGGACGGAGAUGGGGCGAGGGCAGGAAGUGACAAGCUCUCGGAGUGGGUGGGGGGAGUGUGGCCGGCACGCCCGGGAGCGCCGCGCGCAUGCGCCCGCCCGGGCACCCGGGCCUGUGGCGAGGCGAGGCGAGGCGAGGCGAGGCGAGGCGAGGCGAGGCGACGCGCGGCGGCCGGGCAGGGGGAGGGAGCCUCGGCCGGGGUCUCUCGGGCCGGCCGCUCGUUCGCGCGUCCUCCCGCGGGCCGACGGGGCGCCGAAGCCCUCGACUGUUCGUGCCCGGGAGACGGGCUCAUCGGCAACCAAACUGUUGCUUUCUCCUUCCGUUGGAACCGAAACUGGGAGGGUUGGAAAAGCACGGGAACGAAGUGUAGGAAGAGGCUUGACAAACGGGGGAGCCGCACACAUAGGUCUUGCUGGCCAGAUGACACAAUGCAUACACCAUGCUGCCAUGAGGGCACCAAACCAUCCUUGA